rnacentral:lncRNA from 1 species
AAAAUCACAUUGUUAACUGGCCAACAGCGAUUUAACCCAAUUCCCAAAUAGUUAUUAAUGGAAAUAAUAAAGGUUAAAUCACAAGCAUCGAUCUUUUUUUCCCUUAAAUCUCCAAGUUAGAAAAAAAUCAUAAAGGUCUCCUCGUUAUUUUUUUUUCCUGGAAAAUUAUAUUUAAUGGGGGGUGUGGGUGCAUUUUUAACUCUUUUGAUAAGAUGGGUGGAACCUCCAAAAAUAAGAAAGCUUGAGGACCGCUAAGAUCUGAAAGCAUCCAUGGAUCUGAGUCCUGCCUUGUAAUCCCCUCUGCUCCACUACAUUUUGUGUCCAAGUUCACGCCGCGCCGUCCGUGAGAUGAAACAUACCCUGGUCUUGGUCAUUUUCACAUGACUUUACUCACCGAUGUCUUCAGCGUCUUGGCUUAUAGGGUACAAUCAAGUUGAAUGUAAAAAAUGACUUUUUUUUUAAUACAAACUAAAUGAAGGAUUGAAAAUACUGAAAAAUGUGGGAUUUGGGCUAAGUCAGAGAGCCCUGGGGAGACAGCGCUAUUGGCUUAAGUGGCAUUUCACGAUGACCAGGGCCAGGGCAGAACAACGUAGGAGAUGAGCUUUGUCACAGGUUCCACGAUAACUUGUGCCCAGGGACAUAGACCAGGCUUUUUCCAGGAGGAGCUGGAAGGGGCGAAGGCACAGAAAGCCUGCCAAACUCCCCGUCCACACACUUUUGCAGAGAAAUCGCAGGCAGCGUCAACAGUCACCAGAGCCCAGACUUCCUGGAGGCAGUGUCCAGGCCAGGCAUCCUGGGCAUCAGGCUGGCUGCCGGGGGCUCUCUGCCUCUUGUGAGACUUUUGUCUCUACCAGACGCCAAGACAAACAGGCAAAACCAACUUCUUGAUUUCUAGAAAGUUCCCGAGAGGCGUUCUCAUUGCAGCUCAGCGGGUUAAGAACCCGACUAGGAUCCAUGAGGAUGCAGGUUCCAUCCCUGGCCUCGCUCAAUGGGUCAAGGAUCUGGCGUUGCCCUGAGCUGUGGCAUAGGUGGCAGGUGUGGCUCAGCUCCUGCAUUGCUGUGGCUGUGGUGUAGACCGGCAGCUGCAGCUGUGAUUCACCUCCUAGCCUGGGAACCUCCAUGUGCUGCAGGCAAAUGUCUUAACUUCUCUGUGGCUUAACUUCUUCUCCUGCAAAAUGGAACUACGGAUGGCCCACCCUCGGAGCUUCGCUGCCAGGAUGAAACGAGGGAUGCUGGGUCAAAGGUUUAGGCCAGGGCUUGAGCGUUGUAAGCGUUCAAUAAAUGAUAGCUAUGACUAUUGCUGUUGUGGUUACUCUUGGUGCCAAUCCACAUCUCCAAGACCUAGCCCCCCUCACCAGACUUUCUUUCACCAGAUCCCGUCAUCUAAGCCCCAACCAAGGAGGAGGCUCUCCAGCAGGUUGCUGACUCCCCAGGGCAGUGGAGCAGAAGGAGCGGAGUGGAGUCUGGGGUGGUGGUGGGGGGGGCAGUGCUGGGUGAUUGAAGAUAAACACUCAUCAGCAGACCACACACUCACUCGUGCCCCUCCCACUGCGACAGGGCGAAGGAGAGCAUGCAAAUUCCGCAGUCCAAGCUGAGUCAAGGCAAACAUGUUUUUCUUCUUCAAAGGAGAUGAGGCCACAUGAAACCAAGGGCAAGCAUCUCCCCGACGACGACGGUCACCUAGUGUCUGAGGUGCAGCCCCACCCACUAGAAACGUUGGGGGAGGGGAGCCGGAAGCUGGGACGUUUGGGAAGCAUCCCCAGUCAGGAAGCCAGCAGUGGACGCUUCAGCCACAGAGGGGUCCCCACGUGCAAAGAGGCACAAACACUCCUGUCCAGUCCAGCGGCUCCUUAAUUCAGGGGCCCUGGCCUCUGCGGGAACCACAUUCCGACUCAACCUCCCUCCCCACCCCACGGAGCCCGGGACGGCUCGAAAGGGAAGAGUCAGACAGAGAUACCCGCUAAAGUUCCUAGAGCUGGGACCCUCCUUUCCACCAGGCUCCAGGACCACACCCUCUCCAGGUGGUGAAAGUCCAUUUUAUUUUGAAAGACAAAAGCAUCUUCCGCUUCCUCCUUCCUCGUGGGCCUCUGCCAGAAUGUGUUGCUGUGGGUCACCCAUUCUAGUGCUCAACCCCCUGCCCUGCCAAGGGAGCCUCUGCCUCGGUCCCCCCAGGGCCUCAGGUUGCAGCCAUUUUUUCCUCCUUAGAUGCCCAAGACACGGUGGUCCCCAAGUUCUCCCACCCUGAACUGUCCAGGCACCCCACUCACCUCCAGUCUGCUUGGCCCUGGCUCUGGGGGUUGCGAGAAUUCAUUUAAUUCUCACGGCUCGCCCCCUCAACCCCUUUUCCACCCUUCCCUGCCCCCCACAGCACUGCAAAUAAUGCCCCGCUUUAUAUGGAAAACACUAAAAUAGGAUCACACCUUUGAAAAGAUAUUUCCACCUCACAGCCUGAAAUCAGACUUCACCUUUCUCCGUCCUCCACAACCACCACGCUGGCCCUCUACACACACACACACACACACACACACACACACACACACACACACACACAUACACACACCCAUUUUGCUACCAGACUUCCCUAAGCCAGUUUAAUUGAAAAGGCAUGAUUUAGGCUAAUUGACAGCAGAUGGGUUCAGCUGCAAAAUGCAGAGAAGCAUUUGCUGAACAUGAUUUACAGCAAGGAGGCAAAACUUUCUCCUUUUUAUAUCUUUCUUCGAGCUCCAUGGCCAAAACAGCUCAGCAGAAAUGAGAGGAGAAAAAAAAGUAAUUAGUGUUUAAUUUUUUAACAAUUUUUAACUCCCUUUUUAAUUGCUUUACAUAAACCUGUCCUAGAAUUUUACAGCCUUCAAAUCUCUGUCUAAGUCUGGUCCUUGUUUCUGGUUUUAAUUACAGGGAGGCUUGUCUGGCACAUUAAAUUAGAAGAAGAAAAAAAAAAGAAAGAAAGAAAGAAACACACACACACACAAUUUCAGAAAUAUUUUGCUGUUGGACUUCCAGCUGAACAUCUAAUAUUUCAGCGCACGGAUGGGAAAGCUCGGCCCGGGAGGGCUUUGCUAGAAGGAAAGGAGACGGAGAGAUUCUGCAACGUUAUUGCAUCACCUCCUCAACUGUCUCCUACUGUUAUGAGGAGUAUGAGAGCCGUCCUAGAACAGCGUCUGGAGUCCACCAUGGCCCCAGGCACCUCAGCCUUGCUUCCAAUGUAACUGACUUCCCAGAAAAACUGGGUGUGUGCAGAGGUCUCUGGCUUCAGGCACAACUCAGGUUCUUAUUUCCAAGCCAGGCCAUUAGAUCUUCUGCUUGCUUCUCGGCAGUCCAUCAUAAAGCAGGACAGGAACUGGCAAAGGGUGGGUCGCCGCAGCGUAGGUAGGGUUGACGGGAGCAGAUUCAGGCUGCACGAUGCCAGGAGGCUGCCCCCCACCCCCGGGCGCCUCCCUUUUGCAGCCAAGUCUGGACCUGCGCUGAGCAGUGGAACCUCCUAAGCUCCCCAGUAUGUAGCCACCAGUCUACCUGUGGUUAUUUAAAUUUAAGUGAAUGAACAGGCAGGAGUUCCCUGGUGGCUCAGUGGGUUAAGGAUCCGGCGUUGUCACAGCUGUGGCUCGGGUCACUGCCAUGGUGCAGGUUCGAUCCCUGGCCAUGGGACUUCCACAUGCCAAGAGCCUGACCCCAAACAAGAACGCUUACUAAAAUUUAAAUCCCCCUUCCUUGGUGACACUAGCCGCAUCUCAACUACUCCAUAGCCUCCUGUGGAUAAUAGGUCGUAGCGUGGAAAUAGUGCCAUAUCCAUCUCCGAAGAAAGUUCUGUUGGACAGGCGUGCUCUGGACGCUGGCUAUCAAGACUGUGGUCUUUGGCCAGGCAGUGUGGGCGUUUCCUGGGAGGUGCUGGAAAUGCAAGGUGGUGGGGCUCCCCAAGACUUGGAAACUGUGUUAUAAUAAGACCCCAGGUGAUUUGAACACGCAUGCAGGGUCACAUCCCAAAGCAGCAUGGCCGGCUGGGGCCUGGGGCUGAGUAAUGGUCCAUGGAUCCCUUCAAGGUGUGAGGAGAGACGUGGGGGGUUGGGGGUGGGUAAAGGGGAGGCGUGCCAAUAAAAUGUCCUCAGGACACAACCCCGCAGGGCUGAGGCUCCCCGGCUUGUGUUCAUUAGCGACAGGGCCGCAGACCCUCUUGGCAGACCCUGCCCAAGCCCGCCCCGGGCUCCUCCAGAGCCCCUGCUGGGAGGCAGAGGGCUGCCUGGCGCCGCUGGGCGGGCAACGCUGGGGCUGGAGCCAGGCCAGCGCUGGCUCCCCACACACGGUCAUUACCUCCCGAGAACCCAGGAGUUAUUACAAUUAAAACACGUUGCAGGGGGGAGCGGGGGGCUGGGGGAGGUCCCUUUAGGAAGGAACACUGAGAUGAAAAGAAAUUAGAACGGUCGUCAUGGCGACGGAGCCAGGCCGGGCCUACCCUGUGAUUAUUUCAAUGGGAACGGGAUGGGGGCAGAUGGGGCUGGAACAGGGGGUGCUCGGGAACCCUACCCCGCUGCAAGGUCAAGAGCUAGGCUUCUCCCCUCAGACUGGGACACCGCAGCCCAGGAAAUUCCCCCGAGGCCAGUUCCUGCUGGCUUUCCUCUUCUCUGGAACGGCCGCCUGUCCCAUGGACCGCCAUCCUCCAGGAAGUCCACCCCCCAGGCCUCAAUCUGGUUUCUUUUUAAACCAGGAAACUCCCAAGAGGGCCCUGGUCACGACCCCGUGGGUGGAAUGGCCUGGCCUGGUUUCCUAUCAGCUCAACUCUGGCGAUUAGGACACCCGCGGAAACCCCGGGCCCCUUUCUGGAACCUGAAACAGGAAGCGCAGGUGUGGGGAGGGAGGCGUCAGAGGAGCCAGGGGUGGGAAUGUCUUGGAAGGGGGCCCAGGAUCAUGAGGAAGGUGGAGAUCUUGGCCCAGGACCCUCCAGGUACCCACUGAGGAUUAGGGUCCUCACACAAGAGGCAUCCUCGGUGGGCAGAGCUCCCGGGCCUGCAGAGGAGAAAACAGUAAUUAGUCCUCAGGCUCUCUGCUGAGAGGGGGCCCUCCCCGCAGCCCAGAGCAGGUUGGCCGAUAGGAAGGGGAAGCUGUGUGGGGACAUCUCCGAGGGGCGCAGGAAAGGAUGUGUUUGGGAUGAGGUCGGGGUGAUGGGGGGAGGUGUCCAGUCUGCUCCUGUAAGGGGAGUUCUCAGAGAAUCCCCGCCUCUUCUCUGGCCUCGUCGCCUCUGAUGCCACCUUAGAGGACUCAGGCCAUAGGGAGAGGGCUAAAACGCUACCUCUGAUGGAGGCGCUGCAGGCAAAGGGAGGUCGGCCUCCAUCCUGAAGGUUAAUCUGGCCCCAGGCAAGUCCUCGGGCUUCCUCGGACACCCAGACUGGAGAUCUUUGAGCCACAGAAGCUGCAGGCAGGGGGCGCUGCCUCAGAACGCCCUCCCUUUUGAAAGCGGAUUAUUCCCAACCCCAGGAACCCCUCUGGAUCUUCCACAGAGCUUCCCCGUUUGCAUUUGCACCUUCCAAGACACCCCUGCAUAAAACGCACGGCGGCGCUGGAGGGAGACCCAAGUGCCAGCCUCGCUGCCGCAGCCUUGGGCCUGAACUUGGGCAACUCCAUCAUCGUCUGCAUCCCACAUUCCUUCUCUGUAAGGACGCCGCCUCAUUUACGAUGUCAUCAAGAGGAUCCGAGAUCACGGACUGCCACUGUCUGGCUCUGCCGCGACCAGCCUCUCCAAUUUGCCCCAGUCUCAGGGGAUUUGGGGGAUGCAGAUCUGUUGCAGGAAGGGGGACGCGAGCAGGCGCCCGAGCGUGGGCUCUUGUCUAACACUCAGAAAUGAACUGUCAGAGGAGACACACGUGCUGACAAAGCAAGAGAUUUUAUUGGGAAGGGACGCCCGGGCAAGGAACAGCAGGCUGAGGGAGCCCAGGAGAACUGCUUGCCACGUGGCUUGCACUCUCUGGUUUUAUGGGAAGGGGUUAGUUUCCAGGUUGUCUCUGGCCAAUCAUCUUGCUUGGCCUGUACUUGGUCUGGCUCUGAGUCCUUCCUGGUGGCACGUGCAUCUCUCAGCCAGGAUGGAUUCCAGCCUCAAGGAUCCUGGGAGGUUCGUCAUCUCCUCCCUCCUACUGGCCCCUCCCAAAUCCUUCUAGUUAGUCUUCAGGGCAGCAUCAUAUUCCUUGUUAGGGCUUCCUGUUGUGCGUCACUCAAGCAACUGGCUAUUAUCAGGCCUGGCCAAGGUGGGUGGUUUCAGGCAAUGCUUCCCUAACAGAACUUUUGGUUUUCAAAUCAGGACAGUCCCCCACAAAGCAGGCACUCUGGUCGCCCUCCCAGGCAUGGGCAUGCAUCUUGGGGGCCCGGGUAUUAUCAUCUGCAGUGGGCUUUGUGCCGUUGUAAAAUUCUUUACAGGUUGUGUAUAUUACACGAACGGGGAAUGUGUAUAUAUGCGCAGGUUACUACACGUCAGUGCGUGCAGGUCCGUGUACACAGAUGCAGAUGACUUUUCCAAAGAGAUAAACUGGGAGGGAAUCAUUCCUGUUUCACAGAGAACGUUCACCUGGUGAAAGGAUCAAUGGUCGUGUUCCUCUCUCUAGAAAGUUGAGACAGGAAAGGGGGCUCUGUAGACGGAAAAUUCCGAGAAACGAAGCACAUAGAUUACAAGGCCACAAGGAGUCCAUUUAUUUCUGAGAUCCUUUCAUUUCUGGGCCCACCCCCCAGCACUUCUAGAAGAUUCUUUUGCACCCUCUUUCUAGUGGGAAGCCGAGCACACCUGUACCUGGGCUCCCAGUGCACUUCCAGCAGCCACUGCCAGCCACUGUCUG